GAUGAACGCUAGCGGCAGGCUUAAUACAUGCAAGUCGUGGGGCAGCAGGUCUGUAGCAAUACAGAUGCUGGCGACCGGCAAACGGGUGCGGAACACGUACACAACCUUCCUUUAAGUGGGGAAUAGCCCAGAGAAAUUUGGAUUAAUACCCCGUAACAUAAUGAAGUGGCAUCACUUUAUUAUUAUAGCUCCGGCGCUUAAAGAUGGGUGUGCGGCUGAUUAGAUAGUUGGCGGGGUAACGGCCCACCAAGUCGACGAUCAGUAACUGGUGUGAGAGCACGACCAGUCACACGGGCACUGAGACACGGGCCCGACUCCUACGGGAGGCAGCAGUAAGGAAUAUUGGUCAAUGGACGCAAGUCUGAACCAGCCAUGCCGCGUGGAGGAUGAGGGUCCUCUGGAUUGUAAACUUCUUUUAUUUGGGAAGAAAUCUAUCUUUUCUUGGAUAGUUGACGGUACCAGAUGAAUAAGCACCGGCUAACUCCGUGCCAGCAGCCGCAGUAAUAC
rnacentral:rRNA from 1 species